rnacentral:rRNA from 1 species
CGGACGGGUGAGUAACGCGUGGGUAACCUGCCUCAUACAGGGGGAUAACAGUUAGAAAUGACUGCUAAUACCGCAUAAGACCACAGCACCGCAUGGUGCAGGAGUAAAAACUCCGGUGGUAUGAGAUGGACCCGCGUCUGAUUAGGUAGUUGGUGGGGUAACGGCCUACCAAGCCGACGAUCAGUAGCCGACCUGAGAGGGUGACCGGCCACAUUGGGACUGAGACACGGCCCAA